UAAAAAAGAACGUUACCCUAGUUGCGGCUAGGUUCUUCUUCGUUCUUUCCUUCUGGCGACGAGAAGAGUGAAUAAUGAGGUUUAAGCUCUCCACCUACUAUAGUUUUCUUUGAUCGCUCUCCACCUAUUUUCUGGUUUCUUCUCCGUUCUUUCCAUCUCGCGUCGAGAAUAGUGAAUAGUGAAUAAUGAGGUUUGAGCUCUCCGCCUAUUUGCUCACUCGUUCUUGGAUUCGACAAGCUUGCUUGGCAGAAUUUGAUUUUAACAGGAUAUCUGCUUCUACUCUAAGAGAACCUUCCAGUGCUUAAGUGAUUUAGAGGCCCUCAAGAAAAGUGGUCCCAUUCCUCCGCAAUUGGACGAUAAGUUCCAGAGAUGGAUGGAUGACCCGAAGACGGAUGAGAUAUUGCGGUCCACUGCAACUGGUUUGCAAAAGAAGGAAUGAUAUCGCGAUCUAUUGGAUCCUAGUGUUGAAUUGAAGGACGAAGUAGUACAUGUUACUCACUUCCUAGUACAUCAAUGUGGAUUGGUUAAAUGUAACAGGUACUUGAUGGUCUCGUCCUGUUUACGGCGAAAAAGUUGGAGAAGUGUCUCCAUCUAUGUCGUAAGAAGUUUGCGAUAGGCGAUGUACUUCUUUCGACUCUGCUGAAUCGAACAGAUGGUCCAUAUACGGCCAUGAAGUCGGGUGUCUUGUCCACUAGGAUCAACUACCCUUGGAGCGAAGAGAAUACCAUCUUUCGAUAUGUCUACGGUUGGCAAUCGGACCACAACGUGCCCUGGAGUGAUGUAGACAUGGUGUACACCCCCAUCAAUGUAGGCGGGAACUACUGGGUGAUGCUCGGCAUCGAUCUUGUAGAAGGCGACAUAACCGUAUGGGAUUCACUCCAAACGGCCACUCCACUGGAUGCACUUGAGAAGGAUCUGAAGCCCAUGUGUACGAUCCUACCCGCGGUGCUGCAUCAUGGCGAGAUAUUUUCAGUUCGAUCCAACUUGCAAUUGGUGUCGUGGAGGGUGCGUCGGGUUCGCAUACCACAGUAGAGUAGCACAACUGAUUGUAGUAUUUUCUGUGUCCGAUUUUUCGAGCCGGGUCAAAUAUGGACACUUUGACUCAAGAUAAUAUUGUAUAUUUUAGGCAUUAGUACGCUGUACAGAUCUGGCGCGUCGUCCCUUUUUUUUAAUAUUGUAUACAUUUUCGAUACUGUUUCUAUGUCAUAAUUCAUUCUUGUAGCA